UCACUUCCCGAGGGGCUCGCGGCCCAUCAGCUUGUUGGUGAGGGUAACGGCCCACCAAGGCGACAACGGGUAGCUGGUCUGAGAGGAUGGUCAGCCACACUGGAACUGAGACACGGUCCAGACACCUACGGGUGGCAGCAGUCGAGAAUCAUUCGCAAUGGGGGAAACCCUGACGAUGCGACGCCGCGUGGAGGAUGAAGGCCUUAGGGUUGUAAACUCCUGUCAAGAGGGAAUAAGCAAGUGAAGGUACCUCUAGAGGAAGGGGCGGCUAAUUCCGUGCCAGCAGCCGCGGUAACACGGAAGCCCCGAGCGUUGUUCGGAUUCAUUGGGCGUAAAGGGUGCGUAUGCGGCGCGGAAAGUCCGGCGUGAAAGGCAGAGGCUCAACCUCUGGACUGCGUUGGAUACUUCCGUGCUUGAGGACUGGAGGGGAGACUGGAAUUCACGGUGUAGCAGUGAAAUGCGUAAAUAUCGUGAGGAAGACCGGUGGCGAAGGCGAGUCUCUGGACAGAUCCUGACGCUGAGGCACGAAGGCUGGGGGAGCGAACAGGAUUAGAUACCCUGGUAGUCCCAGCAGUAAACGAUGUGAGCUUGAUGUGGGGGGAUUCGACCCCUUCCGUGUCGAAGCUAACGCGAUAAGCUCACCGCCUGAGGAGUACGGCCGCAAGGCUAAAACUCAAAGAAAUUGACGGGGACCCGCACAAGCGGUGGAGUAUGUGGCUUAAUUCGAUGCAACGCGAAGAACCUUACCUGGCCUUGACAUGCAUUGUGUCGUCGGUGAAAGCCGGCUAGUCCUGGAAACAGGACGCUUCGCACAGGUGCUGCAUGGCUGUCGUCAGCUCGUGUCGUGAGAUGUUGGGUUAAGUCCCGCAACGAGCGCAACCCUUGUGGUCAGUUACUAACCGGCUUAGCCGGAGGACUCUGGCCAGACUGCCCUGUCAAACGGGGAGGAAGGUGGGGACGACGUCAAGUCAGUAUGGCCCUUAUGGCCAGGGCUGCACACGUACUACAAUGCCCGGUACAAUGUGAACCGAAACCGCGAGGUGGAGGAAAUCGCUCUUGAAGACCGGGCCCAGUUCGGAUUGGAGUCUGCAACUCGACUCCAUGAGGUCGGAAUCGCUAGU
rnacentral:rRNA from 1 species